rnacentral:miRNA from 1 species
AACCCUAAAAACAAAACCC